AUGGAACUGGCUUCGCUUUUCUGAUUGAUAGAUAAAAUAAUAGAAUUAGGAAAUCCUCUAUUUACUGAAUAAUAACUUUUUUGUUGAAAAAAGAAUAAAAUUCAUUUCUAUUCCAAGGUGGGGAGUUUCAUUUUCCCAUCGACCUAUUUGCAGAAUUCCAUUAAAAAAAUUCUAUAUUUCCAUUCUAUUUCCAUAUCUAUAGAAGAACGUAUAUAAAAAUCUUUAGUGAAAUUAGUAAAAGUUAAGAACUCAUUGAAAC
rnacentral:lncRNA from 1 species